GGGAGUGUGGCUCAGUGGUAGAGUGCUUGCCUUGCAUGCAUGAGGCCCUGGGUUCGAUUCCCCAGCACCA
rnacentral:tRNA from 1 species